AGGGCAUGAUGAGGAUUGUUAUUGUCAUCCGAUUCAUGACGAAUCAAUACCUCCUACUCAUUCUGA